rfam:Dufourea novaeangliae contig943, whole genome shotgun sequence.
GCUUCGGUAGCGCAGUAGGCAGCGCGUAAGUCUCAUAAUCUUAAGGUCGUGAGUUCGAUCCUCACCCGGAGCA